rnacentral:tRNA from 21 species
GGCCAGGUAGCUCAGUUGGUAGAGCAGGGGACUGAAAAUCCCCGUGUCGGCGGUUCGAUUCCGUCCCUGGCCACCA